GAGGGGCAAAGAAGGAUGCUUUGCUCUGGACAAAAGGAGCUCAAUGUGCUGCAUUUGCUAAAUCUGGGAGCGAAAGGAGCUGAGAGCUCUAGCCCUAAGAAAGGAUUCAUAUUGACUGCGUGACUUGACCGGAGAGCUCAGCCAUUGAAGACCCGCCUAAUGAGGUUGACAACCUACAGGGGGUGCCAGGAGAAAAAAAAAUUGCAACAGCACCACACGCAGACGACAAGAGGCAUUCACAGAGAGUCUGAUGCCCUAUCCACUGGACCGUGCUGCAUCCUGAAGCUUGUGUGGGGCCUUCUGUGCAACAGAUAGUGUAUUGCAGUAAUAUAACCUGAAGAACAGAUCAUUUUGAUAGUCUCUUCAGAGAAGAAUGAUGGCAUUUUUUAAGCUACCUGAAGAUAGAAAAGGGCAUUUUUGGUCCCUAUCACUAUUUGAGCGUCUAAGAGCAGCAGAGUCCAAUAAGACAAACUCCACAUUACGUGGAUAAUCAGAGAGAAUGCCCACAGUAGAGGAUAACAGUUUCAGGCAUUUCCUUGAAGUAUUGUCCUCUCCCAACUAGUAUCACUAUUUUACUAAGGGUGAACAUGAGCCAGCUGUUUUUCAUCCAGCACCUGAGAGAAAUAAGUACG